UGGGGAAUAUUGGACAAUGGGCGAAAGCCUGAUCCAGCCAUGCCGCGUGUGUGAAGAAGGUCUUCGGAUUGUAAAGCACUUUAAGUUGGGAGGAAGGGCAGUAAGCGAAUACCUUGCUGUUUUGACGUUACCGACAGAAUAAGCACCGGCUAACUCUGUGCCAGCAGCCGCGGUAAUACAGAGGGUGCAAGCGUUAAUCGGAAUUACUGGGCGUAAAGCGCGCGUAGGUGGUUCGUUAAGUUGAAUGUGAAAGCCCCGGGCUCAACCUGGGAACUGCAUCCAGAACUGGCGAGCUAGAGUAGGGCAGAGGGGGGUGGAAUUUCCUGUGUAGCGGUGAAAUGCGUAGAUAUAGGAAGGAGCACCAGUGGCGAAGGCGACCACCUGGGCUCAUACUGACACUGAGGUGCGAAAGCGUGGGGAGCAAACAGG
rnacentral:rRNA from 1 species